rnacentral:rRNA from 1 species
CUACAGGAGGCACCAGUGAGGAAUAUUGCACAAUGGGGGGAACCCUGAUGCAGCAACGCCGCGUGGAGGAUGACGCAUUUCGGUGUGUAAACUCCUUUUAUAUGUCAAGAAAAUGACGGUAGCAUAUGAAUAAGCACCGGCUAACUCCGUGCCAGCAGCCGCGGUAAUACGGCGGGUGCAAGCGUUACUCGGAAUCACUGGGCGUAAAGGACGCGUAGGCGGGUUGGAAAGUCAGGUGUGAAAUCCUACAGCUUAACUGUAGAACUGCACUUGAAACUUCUAAUCUAGAGUAUGGGAGGGGGAGAUGGAAUUAGUGGUGUAGGGGUAAAAUCCGUAGAUAUCACUAGGAAUACCUAAAGCGAAGGCGAUCUCCUGGAACAUUACUGACGCUAAGGCGUGAAAGCGUGGGGAGCAAACAGGAUUAGAUACCCCGGUAGUC